UAAAAUGUAACUGAUGAUCUUACUAAUAACAUUAAGUGAAUAAAACUUAUUUUGAAUAAGUUUGUUGACCUUACUAAGUUUGAUAAAGUAAGGACAACGUUUUAGCACGGUAAGUUAUUAAACUCAAAAGAUUAAAUUAACCUCUACUUAAAAUAAUAAGUAUGUUGAACAUUUUUCGAGUGGUCAUGCGCAGUUCUACCAGUAGGUGGAGCCGAUUUGAAAACGUAAUACCAUUAUUUCGGAUGAGGAAAGCACAUGGAAAGGUGAGUCAGUGCUUUUUAUGUCUUAUUUUAAUGUCUGAAUUGCUUAAUAUACACAAUUGACCGUGUAAUAAAUGAAACAGAUUAAACAAUCUAGCGUUACACAUGAACAUUGGAUGUGUUAUUUUAAUCAAAUUCUUGGAUUGUGUUGGAUUGUGCUAAUCGAAAUGAGCAGUCUAGCAUUUGCAAAUCGGUAGCCUAAUCGUUAGGUCCAUGCUUUCAAUCAAGGAACAUACUUUAUGAUACAACUGUUUUUUGGGAGAACUAUUCUUUUAUGUUAAUAAAACAAAAGUCACUGAAAAUCACUCACUUAAAUACAGUGGCUUUAAUAAGAAUAAAUUAUUAAUGUAUACUGUCAAGCCAAUUUAUAGGGUUUAUCUUAUUUAUAUAUUAUGUUGUGUAUAUGUAACGUGUAUCUUUAUUCCUAUUUCUUUAUUAACAAAGAUUAAACAAUUACUAAGCUUUUUAUUAUCAUUAAUUUUGACCUAAAAUGUCUGCUAUUCUAUUUUGUUUUUAGCUUUGUUUUUUGAAAAUAUGGAAAUUUGUUUGGCUGUAAUGCAAAACAGUAAAACCAACAUGAAAAGAAUUGUGAUAUCAUAUUUUGCCAUAUCGCCCACCCCACACUUUAAAUGUUUGAACACUAUUGAUUUAUAAAUUAAAAUACAAAGCUGUAUAUUAAAAAAGUGUGUAUUUUAAUAUUAUUUUCUUCAUUUGCAGAGCUUGCUUUGUGAGAUGAGACAUGCAAAGGAAAUAUCAAUUCAGAGUUUAUUCGCAUCACAAGCAAAAACCUCAAGCAAGAAUUUUUUACAGCACUUGAUCAACAUACAGCUCCAUUUCUGGCAGUUGGAAAAAAAACUUUCUGAAUUUGUGGGCACUGACAUCACUGCAAAUCGCACAGCAGUUCUUUGUGGACUUCCCCUCAUUUUUGGAGAAGACACCUCAGACUUUUUCAAAACAAUAUUG